CCCCACACAAGAAGACAAGCCCAGGGCAUCCAGGGAACCCUGACAUUCACUCAGACAUUUACAGUGUAUGCGAUAUGAAAACUAAGUCCAGCUUGCUCUUUCUGCCUGCACAUCUGUAAUGUGUACUGUGUAACCACAGAGAUAGCCUUGUGGAAAGGAGGUUCCCAAGAGGAGAAGCACGCAUGGCAAGGCAAUGGCAAGAGACAUCGAAACAAAGUCCCAGAGCUUCCACUGAGGAUGGAGAGUGGAAUCUACAUCCAGCUUUGAACUCUAACUACCAUGAGACUUAGGGAACUGAGCUUUGCAAGCAGAGGAUUCUCCAUCAAUAAAAUGGGCACUGAGUUAUAUCUUCUCCAAA